GAAAUGCGAUAAGUAAUGUGAAUUGCAGAAUUCAGUGAAUCAUCGAGUCUUUGAACGCACAUUGCGCCCGCCAGCACUCUGGCGGGCAUGCCUGUUCGAGCGUCAUUUCAACCCUCAGAACCCCUUGCGGGAUCUGGCGUUGGGGAUUGGCAUCCAGCCAGCCCCGAAAUCUAGUGGCGGUCCCUCCGCGACCUCCCCUGUGCAGUAGCGAUACCUCGCAGCGGGACAGCGGUCUGACCACGCCGUAAAACCCCCAACUUCUCAAGGUUGACCUCGAAUCAGGUAGGAAUACCCGCUGAACUUAAGC
rnacentral:misc_RNA from 1 species